AGUGGGAUAGCUGGGUCAUAUGGUGGUUCCAUUCCAAGUUUUCUAAGAAAUCUCUAUACUGCUUUCCAGAUUGGUUGUACCUAUUUGCAGUCCCACCAGCAAU
rnacentral:pre_miRNA from 1 species